UAUGUGAUCGUCUCUCGCAUAUCAAUAAGCGGAGGAAAAGAAACUAACAAGGAUAUUCCCCUAGUAACGGCGAGUGAAGCGGGAAGAGCUCAAAUUUGAAAUCUUAAAGGGUUUCCCUUUACGAAUUGUAGUUUAAAGAAGUGUUUUCUGUUGAGGUUUUGGUAAAAGUUCUUUGGAAUAGGACAUCAUAGAGGGUGAGAAUCCCGUAUUUGACCUUUACUUUCAACUUUGUGAUACACUUUCAAAGAGUCGGAUUGUUUGGGAAUGCAGUCCAAAAUGGGUGGUAAAUUUCAUCUAAAGCUAAAUAUUGGCGAGAGACCGAUAGCGAACAAGUACCGUGAGGGAAAGAUGAAAAGAACUUUGAAAAGAGAGUUAAACAGUACGUGAAAUUGUCAAAAGGGAAGCGUUUGACACCAGUGUUGUUUUUCUGAAAAUCAAUUAAAGAACUGUUUAUGCUAAGUUGUUUAGACUUUAUCAGCUAACUGUUUAGUUUUGAGCUUUUCUUUAAUGCACUUUUCAGUUAACAAGUCAACAUCAAUUUCUUUUGCUGUAAAAAAGCUUGAGGAAGGUGGCUUGAGAUUCGUCUUAAGUGUUUAUAGCCUCUUGCCUAUGCAGUCGGAGAGAUUGAGGUCUGCAGCGUAGAUCCUUCGGGGCUAAAUGCAUUUGUGCUAAGUUAUAGCAUUUUAUAGACAACUUGUUGACUAUGAUUUGUCUUGUAGCUUACUCGCUUAUGUUAUUUUACCUACGCUUAGGAUGUUGAUCUACAGAGCGAGAGU
rnacentral:rRNA from 1 species